CCCAACAACAUGAAGGCCUGGCUUAAGUAACUGCAGACGCCAUCUGAACCUCCUCCUGCCUACAAACAUAUGGGUUAGGGGGGUAGUUGCAGAAAACAGUUCUUCAGUUACAUGACUCUGGGACUGGACCAACUUAUAGCCACCAUUGCCAUGGCAUGAAAGAGAAAUCACACAGGAGGAAUUGAAAUACAGUUUCUACAUGGAACUGAGAAAGCUAAUCACAAGAUGGCACAGGCACUGGCAAUGUGGUUAUCCUUGGGUUGUAGUUUGAAGGAUGUGCUCAGGCAAUGGACUUCAAUACUAAACUUCCUUCUAAUGAAACAUUAACAACUCUGAAGUCCAUGGUGGAUUUUAAAGGUUCCCAUGGCAUGUCCUGCCUCAUAUCCCUAUUCACUGUUGACCUGGUUUCACUCUUGAAGGAUGCAUGGACAUGUUGGAUUUGUGAGAAACAGUUGUAAAAUUUGCAAGUGGAAUGACUACGCUACUGGUAGGUAACUCACUGCUUGUAAAUUUAUUGGGGAUUAACCUGAUUAUGAAAAACUCAAAUUCUGUUCCUGCCUAUCUUGCUUAGAAAGAUGCUAUUCACCAUAACAUAUUAAUGGUAUCCCAAAAGGAAGGCAUUGAGGGGCAGCUAGGAGCAACUUGCAAAGCAUGGUACAGGUGCACAGGCAUAGCUGGGUAGCUCUGGGCCUGGGGCAGCCACAUGAUGUUUUGGGUAGCAUCAGCUGCUAUGGUGCCCUUCUCAGCUACUUCUGUGGGUGCAGCUGUUUUGGUGCUCUCCCACAAAGGCAGCACUUAGGGAUGCAGCCCUAGUUGCCCCCUUUAGUUCCACUACUAUGUGUAUCAAAAUAGCCACUUCCCUGUACCUCACAUAUUGGGUGUUAUAUAGCUAUACAAGAUGCAAAUUAGGUGAUGGACUUUUUGGUAGGUAUCUUGCUUUGGCUAGUGCUACUGAGUGGGGCGGAAUGGCAUAAAAUGGGACUGUUUCUUGGAGUGACUAAGCUGUUUUUCAUUUUUAUUACACAGUAACAAUGACCAUGCCUACCCUGCCUUCAUAUCAAGCCAUUAACUAUUAUGUCGUCCCUGCUUCUGCACUGUGUACAAAGCCCAGAAAUAUGACAGUGGAGCUGGCUUAGAAUAGCCCUAAACAUGUGCAAGACAGAAAGUCUGAGGGGACAGUAGCACACACUCACGGAUGCCUCAUUUUUGCUUUGUGGUCAACGCUUGAACAUCAGACCUGUGUGUACUUGACUUUGACAGUCUCACAACAGACUUAAUUUUACUGGCAGUACAUGCUGUGUAUAUGGAGGUAUGUCCAAGUGUGCCUUCUCAACACUUCCUGAAGACAUCGAAAAUAUUUGUGGUAUGAAAGCAGUUUCAUUAUCAUCUAAGCUGUAUCAGCCAUUUUAAGUUGAUUUCAAGCUCACAUUGCAAGUUUAUGUAUACUGGAAGGUAUAUUGAAAAUUGCAUUAUUUAUGUUCUAAUGCAAAGGGGAAUCUUAUGAGAAUGCUUGAAAGGGACUCUAGACAUUUCUUUUACAGAUACUCUGGAGAUCGGUGCAGUACAGGAACCCAUAUGGAACUGAACAAAAUUCUGUAAUGCUACAUGAAAUGCCUAUGUAUAUUUAAGAAGUACUAUUCUGUGUUCUUUUGCUUUUGCCCAGGAUAUAAUUCUGUACUGAGGCAGAUGACAGCUCGUAGCUGACAGUAUUAG